GGUGGUUCUUGGGUGAUGCACCCCAGAAUCAGGCUCCCUCCUCUCUGGUUUCAGGUGUGUCACCUGGAGAACUGCA
rfam:Myotis brandtii contig260646, whole genome shotgun sequence.